rnacentral:snRNA from 1 species
GUACUCACUUCAGCAGCACAUAGACUAAAAUUGGAAUGAUACAGAGAUUAGCAUGACCCCAGAACAAAAAUGAUAUGCAGAUUCAUGAAGCAUUCCAUAAUUU